rnacentral:lncRNA from 1 species
UUCCAUGCAGAAGAAGAAUGCAUCAUCUACCAAGGACCAGGAAGCAACACUAAAUUAUGGCAUGAUAUUAUUCACUUCUUUUUGUUGCCAAUGAACACUAAAUUGUUCACUUGCUAAUACAAGACUGCAACCACUACAUAGCCCUGUAUAUCCACCAAAUACAUUAAUUAGUUUCCCGUGGACAAAAAAUCUUAAACAGUACUUGAUGUUUCCACGAAAGGCUUGCCAGGAGUUGUUGUGUGACUGUCAAAAAUUGAGCAUAAUUGAUUAUGAAGAGAUGCUUGAUGGUAAAGAAUCAAAGUAGAUUGCUACCUAGUGAGGAAAAUUCUCUCACCUCGUACACAUCGCUGUUAUCUCUGGCCAUCAGCAGCUAUCGCCCCAGGUGCAGAUGCACUUCCAUAAUCCAUACU